rnacentral:misc_RNA from 1 species
GAUGAAGAACGUAGCGAAAUGCGAUACUUGGUGUGAAUUGCAGAAUCCCGUGAACCAUCGAGUCUUUGAACGCAAGUUGCGCCCGAAGCCAUCAGGUUGAGGGCACGUCUGCCUGGGCGUCACAUAUCGUCGCCCAAUGCCUAUUGCAGUGCAAUAGGAAUUUCUAGGGCGAAUGAUGGCUUCCCGUGAGCGUUGUUGCCUCGCGGUUGGUUGAAAAUCGAGUCCUUGGUAGGGUGUGCCAUGGUAGAUGGUGGUCGAGUUAGAACGAUACCGAUCAUGUGCAUGCUCCCCAAAAUAUGGCCUCUAUGACCCACACGCGUCUUUUGACGCUCAUGACGAGACCUCAGGUCAGGCGGGGCUACCCGCUGAAUUUAAGCAUAUCAAUAAGCGGAGGA